rnacentral:rRNA from 1 species
GAAUCAACGCUGGCGGCGUGCCUCAGACAUGCAAGUCGAACGAUUAAAGCUCUCUUCGGAGAGUGUAUAGAGUGGCGCACGGGUGAGUAACACGUAAGUAAUCUACCUUUGAGUGGGAAUAACCCGGGAACCCGAGCUAAUACCGCAUAAUGCAGCGGCACCGCAAGGUGACAGUUGUUAAAGGAGCAAUCCGCUUAAAGAGGAGCUUGCGGCAGAUUAGCUAGNGGUAAGGUAAUGGCUUACCAAGGCUUCGAUCUGUAUCCGGCCUGAGAGGGCGGUCGGACACACUGACACUGAAUAACGGGUCA